UUGAUGUAAAUUAUAAUUGAAAAUGUUUAAUCUCAGUUGCCUAACAGGCCUUUGCACUUCUAUCAGAACCAUCACAUGUUUACUUCUAUCUGAAGUAGCACAUAUUUUUUCGCCACGUAAUUGUCAGCCCUACUAGAUAAUUGCUUAGGCAUUUCAUCUUCAAUUCACUAUAAUACACAAUCUGUCUUAUCGAGGUAAGUUAUUAUGUUUAUCUCUCGUGUGAUGUUUUUCUAUGUAGUAUCUCCAAUCACCAACAGUUUGUCGGGGCUGAGCUCCUUUUCAGAUGAAACGGUAAUUGAUUUGGAACUACAAUGUUUAGUUUACUUCAUUGGAUAAUUUUGGUGCUCGUUGUCGAAGCGAAUGAAACUUAUUCCUUAGUCGAUUGUCUUGUGUGAGGCGAUUAAUUGUUGCUAUCUAUGCUACCUGGCAGCAAGCUCUUUAUGAUAACUUAUCUUUCAGACUUACUUGAUGCUACUUGCAGCCUGGAGUGAAAAAAAUAUGAUGAAGAUCUUGGUGUCUUCUGCUUCAUGAUCUCCUCCUGCACAAGAUGGUUACUUUCAUUGUUGCUUGGACGAGGCUUCUUGAUUAUAUCUCUUCCAACCAUUUUUCUGACAUGACAUGACACUUUCACUAGCACCAACAUCACCAAGCGGCCACCAUUCAGGCGGAUCUUCAGAUUCCUGGAGAACGACCUCUGGGAGGACGUCCAUCGACAACCCUAGGGAAGUGACGGUCAGCAUUGGGCAGUGACAACACAAUGAUGUCCAUGAGAUAUCGAAGACAACGGUCUUGUCGACUAGCGGUGCACGGUGUCAUGUGCACGCUCCUGAUCAUCGUCGUCUUCUCCCUUAUCGCUGAGCCUUGCCGCUGUGAACAACCACCGCCUCCCGCACCUGCCACUUCAGGUACAUACCCCUCCCACUCCCUCAGUGCUUAUAUCUUGGUCGCAUAUUUUGUAUCAUUUGGGAGGAAGGGGUGGUGCGUGGGCGUGGACUAUUUAAAUAUCAAUUUAAUUGCAAUAUGUUUAGAUUUCAGGAAUUAAUUGUUUUGAGAUUCGAUAUAUAAAUGAACAUUGUAUCCAUGAUUAAUUAGUAAUCGUUCCAGUGUCGAGGUUCAUAUUUUUUACAGCUUGCAUUUUUGUACUUUCUUCAGAAAACAAAGCAGACAUCAGGUCAGCUUGUGUUUACAUUUGAUGAAAUGUAGUUUGUUGUUAAAUCAAAUGUAUCUUAUAGCUAAGUCAAAUGCUAAGUUUUAAUGGUACAGAAGUUCUUGACCCCAAGAAAACAAUAUGUUUUUUUCUCUACGGAAGGCACUUUUGACUGAUUCAUGGGUGAUUGAAAUUGCCUCUAUUCUUGUGAAGCCCAAUGAUGAGUUCAAGCUUUUAAACAUGGUAGUAGUUUACUUUGUGGCUAAUUUAUGCUUGCUAUAACUAUGUUUGCAUGGCCAUCUGUAAAUUACGAAUUCUGAUGUACCCCCUAUGUCUGAUAAUCUAAGAUCAUUUUGCAAGCUAAAACAGCUUACAAAACGAUCUUAUAUUAUGGAACGGAGGGAGUAGCAUUUAUGUGCCUAAUUUACUUGUUCCAGAUGAACAUAUUGUGUACAUAAAUUGUGAUGUCAUAUAUCAUUUGUGAGUAUGCAGAUUAUAUCUCUUCCAACCAUUUUUCUGACAUGGUAUGGCCUCCCUGCCUCCUUUCCUUAUGACAGCAUGUUAUUUCCCUAUAUGUAUGUCAUAUGCCAUACUCAUGUUUGGCCUUUAAGUACCAGCAAAUUGCUAAUGUAUUGAUUGUUAUUUUUCUUGAUUAUACUGGUCCUGGCUACCCAUUUUUUACCUAAUAAAACAUGUGCCAUUGCCUUAAAAUAUGGAACCCUCACAGAAAUUAAAGGAAGAUGGACUGGUCUGGUCGCAACUGUACACCUUCAACUCUCCCAUGCAUUAUAUUUUCUCUGAAGUUGAUAUUCUUGGAGAGUCAUCAUGUAUCUAUGCUGGAUCAUAUAUGUGGUUUAACUCAGACUUGUGCAUGUACAUGCUCUGGAAUGGGUCUACACCAAAAAAUAUGGCCAUGGUUCAGCUACUGUAUGCGCCUCAUUGCCAAAGACAUUCCAGUUGAGUCUGAGUUUGUAUUUGUUGACAAGUUAUGACAUUAGACAUGACACUUUCACUAGCACCAACAUCACCAAGCGGCCACCAUUCAGGCGGAUCUUCAGAUUCCUGGAGAACGACCUCUGGGAGGAGGUCCAUCGACAACCUUAGGGAAGUGACAGUCAGCAUUGGGCAGUGACAACACAGUGAUGUCCAUGAUAUAUCGAAGACAACGGUCUUGUCGACUAGCGGUGCACGGUGUCAUGUGCACGCUCCUGAUCAUCGCCGUCUUCUCCCUUAUCGCUGAUCCUUGCCGCUGUGAACAACCACCGCCUCCCGCACCUGCCACUUCAGGUACAUACCCCUCCCACUCCCUCAGUGCUUAUAUCUUGGUCGCAUAUUUUGUAUCAUUUGGGAGGAAGGGGUGGUGCGUGGGCGUGGACUAUCUAAAUAUCAAUUUAAUUGCAAUAUGUUUAGAUUUCAGGAAUUAAUUGUUUUGAGAUUCGAUAUAUAAAUGAACAUUGUAUCCAUGAUUAAUUAGUAAUCGUUCCAGUGUCGAGGUUCAUAUUUUUUACAGCUUGCAUUUUUGUACUUUCUUCAGAAAACAAAGCAGACAUCAGGUCAGCUUGUGUUUACAUUUGAUGAAAUGUAGUUUGUUGUUAAAUCAAAUGUAUCUUAUAGCUAAGUCAAAUGCUAAGUUUUAAUGGUACAGAAGUUCUUGACCCCAAGAAAACAAUAUGUUUUUUUCUCUACGGAAGGCACUUUUGACUGAUUCAUGGGUGAUUGAAAUUGCCUCUAUUCUUGUGAAGCCCAAUGAUGAGUUCAAGCUUUUAAACAUGGUAGUAGUUUACUUUGUGGCUAAUUUAUGCUUGCUAUAACUAUGUUUGCAUGGCCAUCUGUAAAUUACGAAUUCUGAUGUACCCCCUAUGUCUGAUAAUCUAAGAUCAUUUUGCAAGCUAAAACAGCUUACAAAACGAUCUUAUAUUAUGGAACGGAGGGAGUAGCAUUUAUGUGCCUAAUUUACUUGUUCCAGAUGAACAUAUUGUGUACAUAAAUUGUGAUGUCAUAUAUCAUUUGUGAGUAUGCAGAUUAUAUCUCUUCCAACCAUUUUUCUGACAUGGUAUGGCCUCCCUGCCUCCUUUCCUUAUGACAGCAUGUUAUUUCCCUAUAUGUAUGUCAUAUGCCAUACUCAUGUUUGGCCUUUAAGUACCAGCAAAUUGCUAAUGUAUUGAUUGUUAUUUUUCUUGAUUAUACUGGUCCUGGCUACCCAUUUUUUACCUAAUAAAACAUGUGCCAUUGCCUUAAAAUAUGGAACCCUCACAGAAAUUAAAGGAAGAUGGACUGGUGUGGUCUCAACUGUACACCUUCAACUCUCCCAUGCUUUAUAUUUUCUCUGAAGUUGAUAUUCUUGGAGAGUCAACAUGUAUCUAUGCUGGAUCAUAUACGUGGUUUAGCUCAGACUUGUGCAUGUACAUGCUCUGGAAUGGGUCUACUCCAAAAAAUAUGGCCAUGGUUCAGCUACUGUAUGCGCCUCAUUCCCAAAGACAUUCCAGUUGAGUCUGAGUUUGUAUUUGUUGACAAGUUAUGACAUUAGACAUGACACUUUCACUAGCACCAACAUCACCAAGUGGCCACCAUUCAGGCGGAUCUUCAGAUUCCGGGAGAACGACCUCUGGGAGGACGUCCAUCGACAACCUUAGGGAAGUGACAGUCAGCAUUGGACAGUGACAACACAGUGAUCUCCAUGAGAUAUCGAAGACAACGGUCUUGUCGACUAGCGGUGCACGGUGUCAUGUGCACGCUCCUGAUCAUCGUCGUCUUCUCCCUUAUCGCCGAGCCUUGCCGCUAUGAACAACCACCGCCUCCCGCACCUUCCACUUCAGGUACGUACCCCUCCCACUCCCUCAGUGCUUAUA